AAAUCUGRGCCUAAAAAACAGAGAUUCAAUACAUAAAUAAAAAUAAAAACAUAUAACAACUGCUAUUUUAGCAUGAAUAUUGAACUAUAACCAGUCAUAAACUCAGUGUGUCUAAAGCAUAUAAUGUUUAAACUAAGAGGUCAACAACCAUGAAGACCAUAUUGAUUGUACCUUUUAUAUUGGACUGAUUGCUAUUGAAACGUCUAGAAUGCAAUUUAUCGCUAUCCAGCGGCAACACACUGAACACGAUACCCAUUCAAUACAGUCAUCUUCGGGGAGACUACGGUACUUAUCUGAGUGCCGGCUACAGUAACAGUAUAGGCAUAUGUUUGUCAUGUCGUCAGAAUUUUCUAAGASAUAAUUUUUUAAAUAUUCUCGGUAAUUUUUAGGAUUAAACUCUAAACUGAACUCAGAACCGUCCAUAAUGUUAAAUGCGUAGUGUAUUAAAUAAACACCACAAUUAUAUCCAUAAUUUUGUUGUGAAACGUUUUUAUAGGGGCAUUCAAUACGUAGUGAUAACGUUGGACAUUUUUUUCCGUCGUUUUCGUAAAUUACUUUUGRUUUCAGCAUUUCGGAUACAUUGAUUUAAAAUUUUGAUAAUCUAAUAUCAUUGUUAUAUGGUUCAAAAAGAUCCAUGAURUAAUACUUUUCGGUUUUGAAAUUUAAAACAACCACUAUCCAAUGACUAUGCACUAACCAUGGUAGAAUAACCGUACUAUCCUGAGUAAAAGUAGUUUUGUYAAUAUGCUGUUUAACAAUUUCUCUUUUUUCAAACAGUUGUCUUGCAUGGUUGAAUGAUAAAACCUGUAUGUUUUUUAAGCCCAGCUUAAAAGCAUAUGACAUCAAACAAAGAUCUAUGACGAAGUUACUCAACCAAUUUUUUGCAGACAAUGAAUCAAAAUCUUGGAAGUACAGGUCGUCUAAGAUGUCAAUUUUUUGGUGACUAGGUAAUAUGUGCCCAUAACUUCCAACUAUAUAAUCAGUCGGUAUAUAGUAUCUGCUGGCAUUGGUUUGUAGUACGUCAAAUCUUUAGGGAGCAUAUUUUUGUGUAAAUCUAUUGAUUGCUGCACUGACCGUCGAAACARAGAUUUAUAACGGGGUUGGUAAAUUGAGUCCCAAAUGACACUAACUCGGUAAA